rnacentral:RNase_P_RNA from 1 species
AGAUGGCCGGGCGGCCGCUGUUCCGGCUUCGGCCGGAAUGGAGGAAAGUCCGGGCUCCAUGCAGACAGGGCGGCGGGUAACGCCCGCCCGGCGCGAGCCGAGGGAAAGUGCCACAGAAAGCAAACCGCCCCGAACCUUCGGGGUAAGGGUGAAAGGGUGCGGUAAGAGCGCACCGCGGAUCUGGCAACAGAUCUGGCAAGGUAAACCCCGCCUGGAGCAAGACCAAAUAGGGAAGACAUCCGGUGCGUCUUCACACCGUCUUCCGGGUCGGUCGCGCGAGGUGAUGAGCAAUCGUCAUCCCAGAGGAAUGGUCGCCAAUCCACGCAAGUGGUGAACAGAACCCGGCUUACAGGCCAUCUGA